rnacentral:tRNA from 1 species
GGUUAAUGUAGCUUAAACAUAAAGCAAAGCACUGAAAAUGCU